rnacentral:rRNA from 1 species
CCCAUAUGGUCGACCUGCAGGCGGCCGCGAAUUCACUAGUGAUUAGAGUUUGAUCCUGGCUCAGAUUGAACGCUGGCGGCAGGCUUAACACAUGCAAGUCGAGCGGGGAAGAGUAGCUUGCUACUUGACCUAGCGGCGGACGGGUGAGUAAUGCUUAGGAAUCUGCCUAUUAGUGGGGGACAACAUCUCGAAAGGGAUGCUAAUACCGCAUACGUCCUACGGGAGAAAGCAGGGGACCUUCGGGCCUUGCGCUAAUAGAUGAGCCUAAGUCGGAUUAGCUAGUUGGUGGGGUAAAGGCCUACCAAGGCGACGAUCUGUAGCGGGUCUGAGAGGAUGAUCCGCCACACUGGGACUGAGACACGGCCCAGACUCCUACGGGAGGCAGCAGUGGGGAAUAUUGGACAAUGGGGGGAACCCUGAUCCAGCCAUGCCGCGUGUGUGAAGAAGGCCUUUUGGUUGUAAAGCACUUUAAGCGAGGAGGAGGCUACCGAGAUUAAUACUCUUGGAUAGUGGACGUUACUCGCAGAAUAAGCACCGGCUAACUACGUGCCAGCAGCCGCGGUAAUACGAAUCGAAUUCCCGCGGCCGCCAUGGCGGCCGGGAGCA